rnacentral:rRNA from 1 species
ACACGGGAUGCCUUAGUACGGCGAGUGAAGCGGCAAAAGCUCAAAUUUGAAAUCUGGUACCUUCGGUGCCCGAGUUGUAAUUUGGAGAGGGCAACUUUGGGGCCGUUCCUUGUCUAUGUUCCUUGGAACAGGACGUCAUAGAGGGUGAGAAUCCCGUGUGGCGAGGAGUGCGGUUCUUUGUAAAGUGCCUUCGAAGAGUCGAGUUGUUUGGGAAUGCAGCUCUAAGUGGGUGGUAAAUUCCAUCUAAAGCUAAAUAUUGGCGAGAGACCGAUAGCGAACAAGUACAGUGAUGGAAAGAUGAAAAGAACUUUGAAAAGAGAGUGAAAAAGUACGUGAAAUUGUUGAAAGGGAAGGGCAUUUGAUCAGACAUGGUGUUUUGUGCCCUCUGCUCCUUGUGGGUAGGGGAAUCUCGCAUUUCACUGGGCCAGCAUCAGUUUUGGUGGCAGGAUAAAUCCAUAGGAAUGUAGCUUGCCUCGGUAAGUAUUAUAGCCUGUGGGAAUACUGCCAGCUGGGACUGAGGACUGCGACGUAAGUCAAGGAUGCUGGCAUAAUGGUUAUAUGCCGCCCGUC